rnacentral:rRNA from 1 species
UACGUAGGUGGCAAGCGUUGUCCGGAUUUAUUGGGCGUAAAGGGAGCGCAGGCGGUGACUUAAGUCUGAUGUGAAAGCCCACGGCUCAACCGUGGAAGGUCAUUGGAAACUGGGUCACUUGAAUAUAGAAGAGGAAAGUGGAAUUCCAUGUGUAGCGGUGAAAUGCGUAGAUAUAUGGAGGAACACCAGUGGCGAAGGCGACUUUCUGGUCUAUUAUUGACGCUGAGGCUCGAAAGCAUGGGUAGCAAACAGGAUUAGAUACCCCGUA